rnacentral:rRNA from 1 species
AUUGAACGCUGGCGGCAGGCCUAACACAUGCAAGUCGAGCGGAUGAAGGGAGCCUGCUCCUGGAUUCAGCGGCGGACGGGUGAGUAAUGCCUAGGAAUCUGCCUGGUAGUGGGGGAUAACGUCCGGAAACGGGCGCUAAUACCGCAUACGUCCUGAGGGAGAAAGUGGGGGGUCUUCGGACCUCACGCUAUCAGAUGAGCCUAGGUCGGAUUAGCUAGUUGGUGGGGUAAAGGCCUACCAAGGCGACGAUCCGUAACUGGUCUGAGAGGAUGAUCAGUCACACUGGAACUGAGACACGGUCCAGACUCCUACGGGAGGCAGCAGUGGGGAAUAUUGGACAAUGGGCGAAAGCCUGAUCCAGCCAUGCCGCGUGUGUGAAGAAGGUCUUCGGAUUGUAAAGCACUUUAAGUUGGGAGGAAGGGCAGUAAGUUAAUACCUUGCUGUUUUGACGUUACCAACAGAAUAAGCACCGGCUAACUUCGUG